GACAGAGGUGCCGAGCGUUAGGCGGAAUCACUGGGCUUAAAGCGUGUGUAGGCGGACCGUUAAGUACCUUGUGAAAUCCCCCCGGCUCAACCGGGGAACGGCUGGGUAUACUGGCGGUCUUGAGCCAUCCAGGGGCAGUCGGAACAGACGGUGGAGCGGUGAAAUGCGUAGAUAUCGUCUGGAACGCCGAAGGUGAAAACAGAACUGCUGGGGAUGCGCUGACGCUGAGACACGAAAGCCAGGGGAGCGAACGGG
rnacentral:rRNA from 1 species